rnacentral:rRNA from 1 species
UACAGAGGGUGCGAGCGUUGUUCGGAGUUACUGGGCGUAAAGCGCGCGCAGGCGGCCCUUUAAGUCCGCUGGUGAAAGACCGGGGCUCAACCCCGUUGCCAGCCAGGGAUACUGGAGGGCUGGAGACAGGUAGAGGCAAGCGGAAUUCCGGGUGUAGCGGUGGAAUGCGUAGAUAUCCGGAAGAACACCGGAGGCGAAGGCGGCUUGCUGGACCUGGUCUGACGCUGAGGCGCGAAAGCGUGGGGAGCGAACAGG